rnacentral:tRNA from 1 species
AGCCCCGUCGUCUAGCGGUCAAGGAUAUAGCCCUUUGGAGGCUGUGACGGCAGUUCGAAUCUGCCCGGGGCUA